UCGUUGUGGACCGGUUAGUGUUCACCCAGCGUCGGACUGAGCGACCGCAGACAUGAAGCUGUUCAUAUGCCUUCUGGCCCUUGUGGCAUCAACAAUGUCAUCAGAUUCCGAUGAACUUCUCAAGCAGAGUAACGAUCAGUUCACCGCCAAAAUGUUCCAAAAGGUGGUAAAACUGAAUCCGGGUAAAAGUAUGGUGAUGUCAGCAUUCUCAGUGCUGUCACCUUUGGCUCAACUGGCCUUGGCUUCAGAAGGAGAUCCUCAUGAUGAGAUCCUGAGAGCUAUCGGUCUGCCUAACGACACCGUGACAAAACAAGUUUUUCUUGAUUCGAAUAAAGAACUACGAUCGUUAAGUAGUGUUGAGCUUAAGCUGGCAAACAGAGUGUAUGUUCGCGAAGGAGGAGAAUUGAACCCUGAGUACGCUGCUGUUUCAAGGGAUGUCUUCAAUUCAGAUGUUAAAAAUGUUGACUUUGCAAAAAAUACUGAAGCUGCAAAAGAAAUUAAUACAUGGGUAGAGGAAGCCACAAACAACCGCAUCAAAGACUUAGUAUCACCGAACUCGUUAAACGCAAACACUGCUGUUGUUCUUGUUAACGCUAUUUACUUCAAGGGCAAGUGGGUAAGCCAGUUUAGCAAGGAAGACACCAAAGAUCGUGAUUUCUCCGUCAGCAAGGACAAGACUAUAUCAUUGCCUACAAUGAAACAAAGUGCUUACUUUAACUAUGGCGAAAGUCAAGAACUUGACGCUAAGCUUUUGGAAAUGCCAUAUGAAGGUGAUAAAUCAUCACUUCUAAUUGUCCUUCCUAAUGAGAUUGAUGGACUCGACUCUUUGCUGAACAAAUUGAAGGACCCAGCAGUUUUGAGAAAGGCCGUUGACAGUAUGUACAACGCAAAGGUUGACGUUUCCAUGCCUAAAUUCAAGAUUGAAACUAAAAUUGAUCUUGCAGAUGUUCUCAAAAAGAUGAAUAUUGAAAAAUUGUUCACUCCAGGACAAGCUCGUCUAGACAAAUUGUUAAAAGAGUCACAAAAUUUGUUCGUUAGUGGAGCUACACAGAAGGCCUAUAUCGAUGUCAAUGAGGAGGGGGCUGAAGCAGCCGCUGCUAAUGAAUUUGGGAUGCUUGGAGCUUUCUUAGAUCCUAAUCCACCAAAAACUUUCUCAGCCGACCGACCAUUUUAUUAUGCACUUAAAGUGGCCGACAAAGUCGCCUUCAAUGGAGUAUUUUUUGAAUAGAAUUCGGUAUCGCAUAUUUGAGUGCUAUGAUACCAGAACAACUCACAUUCAAUGCUGAUCAUCCGUUCGUGUUCUUCUUAAUGGAACGGAAUAACAUUCUGUUUAGCGGAGUCAUCCAAUCAUAGAUUCGUUGAGAAAUACGAAUAAUCGCGCAGACUGGGUUGAAAACAAGCAACAGUCAAUACUUGAAAUCAGUAAAUUAUAUUAUGUAUUAAUUGA
rnacentral:misc_RNA from 1 species